rnacentral:rRNA from 1 species
GAUGGCAUCAUCAUUCAACCAAAGGAGCAAUCCGCUAUGAGAUGGACCCGCGGCGCAUUAGCUAGUUGGUGGGGUAACGGCCUACCAAGGCGACGAUGCGUAGCCGACCUGAGAGGGUGAUCGGCCACAUUGGGACUGAGACACGGCCCAGACUCCUACGGGAGGCAGCAGUGGGGAAUAUUGCACAAUGGGGGAAACCCUGAUGCAGCAACGCCGCGUGAGUGAUGAAGGUUUUCGGAUCGUAAAGCUCUGUCUUUGGGGAAGAUAAUGACGGUA